rnacentral:rRNA from 1 species
GACGAACGCUUUCGGCGUGCUUAACACAUGCAAGUCGAACGGAAAGGCCCUGCUUUUGUGGGGUGCUCGAGUGGCGAACGGGUGAGUAACACGUGAGUAACCUGCCCUUGACUUUGGGAUAACUUCAGGAAACUGGGGCUAAUACCGGAUAGGAGCUCCUGCUGCAUGGUGGGGGUUGGAAAGUUUCGGCGGUUGGGGAUGGACUCGCGGCUUAUCAGCUUGUUGGUGGGGUAGUGGCUUACCAAGGCUUUGACGGGUAGCCGGCCUGAGAGGGUGACCGGCCACAUUGGGACUGAGAUACGGCCCAGACUCCUACGGGAGGCAGCAGUGGGGAAUAUUGCACAAUGGGCGGAAGCCUGAUGCAGCAACGCCGCGUGCGGGAUGACGGCCUUCGGGUUGUAAACCGCUUUCGCCUGUGACGAAGCGUGAGUGACGGUAAUGGGUAAAGAAGCACCGGCUAACUACGUGCCAGCAGCCGCGGUGAUACGUAGGGUGCGAGCGUUGUCCGGAUUUAUUGGGCGUAAAGGGCUCGUAGGUGGUUGAUCGCGUCGGAAGUGUAAUCUUGGGGCUUAACCCUGAGCGUGCUUUCGAUACGGGUUGACUUGAGGAAGGUAGGGGAGAAUGGAAUUCCUGGUGGAGCGGUGGAAUGCGCAGAUAUCAGGAGGAACACCAGUGGCGAAGGCGGUUCUCUGGGCCUUUCCUGACGCUGAGGAGCGAAAGCGUGGGGAGCGAACAGGCUUAGAUACCCUGGUAGUCCACGCUGUAAACGGUGGGUACUAGGUGUGGGGUCCAUUCCACGGGUUCCGUGCCGUAGCUAACGCUUUAAGUACCCCGCCUGGGGAGUACGGCCGCAAUGCUAAAACUCAAAGGAAUUGACGGGGCCCCGCACAAGCGGCGGAGCAUGCGGAUUAAUUCGAUGCAACGCGUAGAACCUUACCUGGGUUUGACAUGGAUCGGGAGUGCUCAGAGAUGGGUGUGCCUCUUUUGGGGUCGGUUCACAGGUGGUGCAUGGCUGUCGUCAGCUCGUGUCGUGAGAUGUUGGGUUAAGUCCCGCAACGAGCGCAACCCUUGUUCACUGUUGCCAGCACGUUAUGGUGGGGACUCAGUGGAGACCGCCGGGGUCAACUCGGAGGAAGGUGGGGAUGACGUCAAGUCAUCAUGCCCCUUAUGUCCAGGGCUUCACGCAUGCUACAAUGGCUGGUACAGAGAGUGGCGAGCCUGUGAGGGUGAGCGAAUCUCGGAAAGCCGGUCUCAGUUCGGAUUGGGGUCUGCAACUCGACCUCAUGAAGUCGGAGUCGCUAGUAAUCGCAGAUCAGCAACGCUGCGGUGAAUACGUUCCCGGGAAA